GGAGGGUUUCCGCCCUUCAGUGCUGCAGCUAACGCAUUAAGUAAUCCGCCUGGGGAGUACGACCGCAAGGUUGAAACUCAAAAGAAUUGACGGGGGCCCGCACAAGCGGUGGAGCAUGUGGUUUAAUUCGAAGCUACGCGAAGAACCUUACCAGGUCUUGACAUCUUCUGCCAACCUAAGAGAUUAGGCGUUCCCUUCGGGGACAGAAUGACAGGUGGUGCAUGGUUGUCGUCAGCUCGUGUCGUGAGAUGUUGGGUUAAGUCCCGCAACGAGCGCAACCCUUAUUACUAGUUGCCAGCAUUCAGUUGGGCACUCUAGUGAGACUGCCGGUGACAAACCGGAGGAAGGUGGGGACGACGUCAAAUCAUCAUGCCCCUUAUGACCUGGGCUACACACGUGCUACAAUGGAUGGUACAACGAGUCGCGAAACCGCGAGGUUUAGCUAAUCUCUUAAAACCAUUCUCAGUUCGGACUGUAGGCUGCAACUCGCCUACACGAAGUCGGAAUCGCUAGUAAUCGCGGAUCAGCAUGCCGCGGUGAAUACGUUCCCGGGCCUUGUACACACCGCCCGUCACACCAUGAGAGUUUGUAACACCCAAAGCCGGUGGGG
rnacentral:rRNA from 1 species